CUCGCGCUACACAAAACCGUACAUCUCUCAUAAACACAUACACGCAUUUAUUUAUAUGUGGAUUUGACAGAAUAAAAUAUUCCUGUUACACACAACGAAUUUACGGAAAACCUUGAGAAAAUACGAGAGCCGAAUUAUAUUCCGGACAAUAAUGUCGAUUUUGUGAGCAGUAAACUUCCAGUCAUGCACGAAACGGUCGAGCUAGUGAAAAAACUUGCCUUUCGUAGCAUCCGUAGCGAAGUGAGUUCCCCUCCUGGCGGCAGUGGUAACAGUGAUGGUGGAGUGGUACCAUGGUUCAAAUCGAUUGGAAAAGCUAGAUAACGGAAGACGAAACGUAUCAAAUCGAUGAGCGAAUGAACAAAAUACAAGGCCUCGAAUGAAUGUAGGAUAAUUAAUCUGAAUCAAGGAGCGGUGUCACCGUAUAUGUACGUCGAAAUCAUGUGAAUUGAUUUGGUAGACGAUCGGGAUAAGGAUAUCGUGGGUUUCUGUGUUUGGAAAGCGCCAAAGAUGCUUCAAAAAAUAACAAGAAUUGGCGAUGAGGAACUCUUCACUGGUUUUGUUCUGGACAAACACUUGCGAGGCUUGAUUGAGGAGUGGUAAAACAAAGUGAUCUGUAUUCGAAAGAUGAGCUCCAGACAGAAAGUAACCACAGCUGCUGCGGCAACCACGAGCCUUCUCAAGUUUGCGUCCCUUGGAGAAUACAUACGGCCAAGUGAUGGAGUGUGGAACCUUCUAGAUGGUCUUGCUGUACUUUUUUCGGGUUCUGCGAUACAAAAAGCGAUAAAGCUUAAAAUCGAGAAACGAAAUCCCGCAUCUACCAUCGACGUAAUAAUUUUGUAGCAGUUUCACUUGUGUUUGAUAUCAAUAUCCUGGAUAGAACCGAAAACGGAAGAAAACUCUUUUUUUAGAAACAUUGAAAAACACUAACACAAACUAUCACUAGCCAAUAACAACUCAAAUAUCGACCAUUACAUGCACGCCGGACUCUUUAAAACGCCAGAAAAUUUAAUUGUAAUAAGGUUUAGAACAUCUCAAUAAUACUGAAAUUUCAGUUCUGUUAAAAUGUCAGUCGAGUCCUUAUCAUUUUUAAC